UGUUUAUAACUAGAUAACGCCGACGCCUGAGAAACCUUCAAAACAUUUGCAUUCUUAAAAAAACAAUAAUCGGAAGUAGAGUUGAAUUAUAGAGGGCGUUGCGAAUACUCUGACAUGCGUACUACGGCACCCCGGUUGUUGUGAUGGCACUUGCUGCAAAUGGGGAAAAUGCUGGCACAAAUUUGAGAAUCGGUUCAUCAUAAUGUCAGGGGUGAAGGCCAGAGAGGACAUGGGGUCUCGACGAACAAGUUCCUCCUCGUCAAUGUCUGUGACUGACACAGAAACCACAAACAAGCCAGCAAAGAAGACACCAAAUGAUUUUAUCUUUGGCAAAGCUAUUGGAGAAGGAUCUUUUUCAACUGUGUACCUUGCGAAGGAGGUUGGCGUGGAUAAAGAAGUAGCAGUGAAAGUUUUGGACAAGAGGCAUAUAAUCAAAGAACGCAAGAACGAAUAUGUGAUGAGAGAAAGAGAGGUUCUCAUGAAGUUAAAUCACCCCUUCUUCAUUCAACUCUUCUGCACAUUUCAGGACACAGAGAGACUUUAUUUUGUGUUGAGUUAUGCAAGAGGGGGAGAGCUGCUCCACUACCUGAACAAGCUGUCAUCCUUUGAUGUUGCAUGUACACAGUUUUAUGCUGCGGAAAUAGUGAUAGCGCUCCAGCAUCUACGUAAUCUGGGCAUCAUCCACAGAGAUCUCAAACCCGAAAAUAUUCUUCUAAAUGAUGAGAUGCAUAUCCAGAUCACCGACUUUGGGUCAGCCAAGAUUUUGAAAGACUCUUCUCCAGUAGAAAACUCUAAAGGUGGAGAUGGCACUCCAGCCUCGGGUGGGCGGCGGAACUCCUUUGUUGGAACUGCCCAGUAUGUGUCCCCGGAAGUACUCACGAGCAAGAAGGCAUCAUUCAGCUCGGACUUGUGGGCGUUAGGAUGUAUCAUAUACCAGUUCCUGGCAGGCUUGCCGCCAUUCAGGGGAGGGCAUGAAUACCAAAUAUUCCAGAAAAUAACAAAAUUAGAGUAUGAUUUUCCCGAAGGUUUUCCAGAUUCAGCCACAGACUUAGUAGAAAAGUUAUUGGUCAUAGAUGAAACAAAUCGUUUGGGUUGCCCAGAGUUAGGAGGAUUUGGCCCACUGAAAGAUCAUGAGUUUUUCAAGAGCAUCAAUUGGGACACUUUGAAAGAUGGACCUGCACCCAAAAUGAUGCCAUAUCUACCAGCAACUAGUCAUAACCCUGAGCUGUGGAGCUCAGAGAGGGUUGGCUUUGAUGACAAGAGACUAGUUGAGAUAAUAACAGACACAGUUAUGACGGCUGACGAGCGCAAGAAGGAGCUGGAGAGACAGGCCACAGGGUCUGUUUGCCCGGAGGCGCAUGUUGUUGCUGACAGAGGGCCCCCACCUGUACUACGUUGACCCUGCCAACAUGGUCCUCAAGGGACAGAUACCAUGGUCCAAAGAACUUCGUCCUGAAGCCAAGAAUUUCAAGAUAUUCUUUGUACAUACUCCUAACAGGACAUAUUACUUAGAGGACCCUGAAUCCCGAACGGAAGAAUGGGUUCGUAAGAUAAGGGAUGUGUGGAGGCGGUA
rnacentral:misc_RNA from 1 species